rnacentral:rRNA from 1 species
CCCUUAGAUGUUCUGGGCCGCACGCGCGCUACACUGACGAAUGCAACGAGCUUAUAACCUUGGCCGAAAGGUCUGGGUAAUCUCCAAAUUUCGUCGUGAUGGGGAUAGAUUAUUGCAAUUAUUAAUCUUCAACGAGGAAUGCCUAGUAAGCGCAAGUCAUCAGCUUGCGUUGAUUACGUCCCUGCCCUUUGUACACACCGCCCGUCGCUCCUACCGAUUUAAUGGUCCGGUGAAGCGUUCGGACCGUGGCCUUUGGACGGUUCGCCGUCUGUUGGCUGCGGGAAGUUCGUUAAACCUUAUCAUUUAGAGGAAGGAGAAGUCGUAACA